CCGCGGAGAGCAACGGUUUUUCACAGGCGGAUUCUUUUCCUGGCCAUUUCUUCCCAUUUAAGUGGGAGACAUGACAGCAGAGAGAGCUACAGAAAGAGAGGUUUACUGAUCCAAACGAAAUGGAAGGGAAGGGGGCAAGUUUCAGUGUCGCCUGGCAACAGGGACUGUAUUGAGAUGUUGACCAUAACAACAAGCCAUCCACCAUCACCUACAAAGUGCCUUGCUGUGAACAAGUACACCAGCUCCAAGAAGAAAGUUCAACAGAGCUUCUACUUACAUAAAACGGUCCUUUUCAGGACCACCCAAA